rfam:Oryza glumipatula chromosome 2, whole genome shotgun sequence.
AAAAAGACAAACACUAGAUUUUUAUGUCAAACAUUUGACUGUCCGUCUUAUAUGAAAUUUUUUUAUAAUUAUUAUUUUCAUUGUUGUUAGAUGAUAAAACAUGAUUAAUACUUUAAUCGUGACUUGUCUUUUUAUUUUUUUUCAUAAUUUUUUCAAAUAAGAUGGACGGUUAAACGUUGAACACGAAAAUUCAGGGAUUGUCUUUUU